rnacentral:rRNA from 1 species
GACGUAGGGGGCGAGCGUUGUCCGGAUUCACUGGGUUUAAAGGGUGCGUAGGAGGGCAGGUAAGUCAGUGGUGAAAUCUCCGAGCUUAACUCGGAACUGUCAGCUGAUACUGAUGUGCUAGAGUGCAGAAGGGGCAAUCGGAAUUCUUGGUGUAGCGGUGAAAUGCGUAGAUAUCAAGAGGAACACCUGAGGUGAAGACGGGUUGCUGGGCUGACACUGACGCUGAGUGCGCGAAAGCCAGGGGAGCAAACGGG